CUGUCUUCCAGCAGAUGUGGCAGAUUGUUUGAAGGUGGAGGAGAAUGAAAGCAGAGUGAAUACUCUGGGGACCAUUUCCAAUGAAAAACAAACUAAUGAAUUCUUCCACAGAGAGGGCAAAGAAUCAAAAGAGUAGAGAACCUCAUAGAGGAAUCAAUUGUUUGAAGAUCAUAGGAAGAAAGAGGGGCCAUUUAUAGACUGAAGAAAUCACUAGAGAGAAAGCUAGAUUUCUCUGCCUAAGAAAAGCGUCGUGAGGGAAGCAGCAGCCAUGAAACUGUGGGAAAGAAACACUAAAGACAAGUACGUCAUGCUUUGCUGUGCAUCUAGACAGGUGAGAUGAACAACUGAGUGUUAA